GGGGAUAUGGCGGAAUUGGUAGACGCUGCGGACUUAAAAUCCGUUGACUUUUCAAAUCGUGAGGGUUCAAGUCCCUCUAUCCCCA
rnacentral:tRNA from 1 species